UUGUUUACUGGGGUGACAUUUUGGAAAUC
rnacentral:piRNA from 1 species